AGUUACUGAAAACUGAACAGCAUCCUGUAUCGUGGCUCAAACCACAUCCUUUUACUGGCAUCUGCAUGUAUCAGAAUAAAAGCACUGGUGUUCGUCUACAAAGCUCAAGAAAAGACCAGCACCCUCUUACUCAGAGACCUCAUCACUCCCCACACUGCACCAUGCUGCCUGAGAUCCUCCAGUACUGCCUGACUGGUACCAACUUCUCUCAGCGUAAGAGAUACUUCAAGGCUCUUCUCUGUUCUGGCACCGAGGUGGUGGAAUGAACUUCCCCUAGAUGUCUGAACAGUGGAGUCCCUGACUAUCUUCAAGGAACAGCUUCUGAAGGAAUUACAGUGGAUUUGCAACAGAGCUGGACUGUACUGUGGAAAUGAUUGGACUCCUUUGUUCUUCUCUAUGCUGAAGAAGAUUUCUUAAUAAAACUGCCUGUACGCUCUGUCCUGCUGCAAAAUACAUUUGGAUCCACAGAGUCCUGAGUCGUUCUUACACGUGGAUUUGAAGGAGCCUACAUGCACGGAGGAUCUGUGAUUAGUUCCCCAAGAUGUUUGGAACAGCCUGCUGAGCUCCUUCAAAAACUGUGUGCAACGUACCAAGAAAUAUUAAUGCUGUUUUGCAGGAAUGGGUGGCCACACCAAAUGUUGAUUUGAUUUGGAUUUCUCUUCUGUUUAUUUUCUUUCCAUUUUGUUAAUCAAUCAGAAUAAACUAUUAUCACUUAUUUUUGAAAGUGUUUUUACAUUACAUCAUUUGUUUACAAGCUGCCCUUAUCAUAAGAGACGUACAAAAGUGCUGUGAAGGCAAACAGAUUUGUUUUGUCUGUUCAUUCUUACAGGGGAUUCCCCCGUCUGUCUGGCCACAAAGACACACUCUGGCCCCUCCUUCCUCCGCCCAAGGUUACAAAAGUUCAUGUGCUGAUUCAGUUAUCUUUUUGCAUAACAGAUUAUUUCACACUAUACAUAACUGUAUAAUAAUACAUCUUUAAUAUUACACGCAUGUUUAAAAGCUUUCGAAACAUCACCCAAAUACAAGUAGUAGGAUGCAAAUCAUAAUAAUAUUAACAAUAAUAUUAAUAAUAAUAACAACAAUAUUCACUGUACAAAUCUGACAUGCUAUUUUACACUUUAUUUCCCUGCACGCUUCCAUAAAUGCUUAUUUAACUAAAGUUACAGCAUGUAACUUGAUGUAUUUUAGGAAUUCUAUCUUUCCUGGGAAUAUCUUUAGCG